AGGACGAACGCUGGCGGCGUGCUUAACACAUGCAAGUCGAGCGGAAAGGCCCUUCGGGGUACUCGAGCGGCGAACGGGUGAGUAACACGUGAGCAACCUGCCCCUGGCUCUGGGAUAGCCUCCGGAAACGGGGAUUAAUACCGGACAUGACCUGGGACUGCAUGGUUCUGGGUGGAAAGUUUUCGGCCAGGGUGGGGCUCGCGGCCUAUCAGCUUGUUGGGGGGGUGACGGCCCACCAAGGCGACGACGGGUAGCCGGCCUGAGAGGGCGACCGGCCACACUGGGACUGAGACACGGCCCAGACUCCUACGGGAGGCAGCAGUGGGGAAUAUUGCGCAAUGGGCGGAAGCCUGACGCAGCGACGCCGCGUGCGGGAUGAAGGCCUUCGGGUUGUAAACCGCUUUCACCGCAGACGAAGCGAGAGUGACGGUAUGGCGGGGAAGAAGCGCCGGCUAACUACGCGCCAGCAGCCGC
rnacentral:rRNA from 1 species